GGCUAAAUAGUUUAAAUAAAAUUUUGGUCUUGUAAAUCAAAGAUAGUUCAUACUUUUGGCCG
rnacentral:tRNA from 1 species